UCCUACGGGGGGCAGCAGUGGGGAAUAUUGCACAAUGGGGGAAACCCUGAUGCAGCGACGCCGCGUGAGUGAAGAAGUAUUUCGGUAUGUAAAGCUCUAUCAGCAGGGAAGAAGUGACAGUACCUAAGGAGGAAGCUCCGGCUAACUAUGUGCCAGCAGCCGCGGUAAUACAUAGGGAGCGAGCGUUAUCCGGAUUUAUUGGGUGUAAAGGGUGCGUAGACGGGAAUACAAGUUGGUUGUGAAAGCCCUCGGCUUAACUGAGGAACUGCAACCAAAACUAUAUUUCUUGAGUAUCGGAGAGGAAA
rnacentral:rRNA from 1 species